rnacentral:rRNA from 1 species
AGAGUUUGAUCCUGGCUCAGAUUGAACGCUGGCGGCAUGCUUUACACAUGCAAGUCGAACGGCAGCGCGGGGCAACCUGGCGGCGAGUGGCGAACGGGUGAGUAAUAUAUCGGAACGUACCCAAGAGUGGGGGAUAACGCAGCGAAAGUUGCGCUAAUACCGCAUACGAUCCAAGGAUGAAAGCAGGGGACCGCAAGGCCUUGUGCUCCUGGAGCGGCCGAUAUCUGAUUAGCUAGUUGGUGAGGUAAAGGCUCACCAAGGCGACGAUCAGUAGCUGGUCUGAGAGGACGACCAGCCACACUGGAACUGAGACACGGUCCAGACUCCUACGGGAGGCAGCAGUGGGGAAUUUUGGACAAUGGGCGCAAGCCUGAUCCAGCAAUGCCGCGUGAGUGAAGAAGGCCUUCGGGUUGUAAAGCUCUUUUGUCAGGGAAGAAACGGCUGUGGCUAAUAUCCACGGCUAAUGACGGUACCUGAAGAAUAAGCACCGGCUAACUACGUGCCAGCAGCCGCGGUAAUACGUAGGGUGCAAGCGUUAAUCGGAAUUACUGGGCGUAAAGCGUGCGCAGGCGGUUUUGUAAGUCUGACGUGAAAUCCCCGGGCUUAACCUGGGAAUUGCGUUGGAGACUGCAAGGCUAGAAUCUGGCAGAGGGGGGUAGAAUUCCACGUGUAGCAGUGAAAUGCGUAGAGAUGUGGAGGAACACCGAUGGCGAAGGCAGCCCCCUGGGUCAAGAUUGACGCUCAUGCACGAAAGCGUGGGGAGCAAACAGGAUUAGAUACCCUGGUAGUCCACGCCCUAAACGAUGUCUACUAGUUGUCGGGUCUUAAUUGACUUGGUAACGCAGCUAACGCGUGAAGUAGACCGCCUGGGGAGUACGGUCGCAAGAUUAAAACUCAAAGGAAUUGACGG